UACGUAGGCAGCGAGCGUUGUUCGGAAUUACUGGGCGUAAAGGGCGCGUAGGCGGUUGGAUAAGUCAGCUGUGAAAACCACGGGCUUAACUCGUGGCCUGCAGUUGAGACUGUCUGGCUUGAGUGUGGGAGAGGAGAGUGGAAUUCCUGGUGUAGCGGUGAAAUGCGCAGAUAUCAGGAGGAACACCGGUGGCGAAGGCGGAUCUCUGGGCCUUACCUGACGCUGAGGCGCGAAAGCUAGGGGAGCGAACAGG
rnacentral:rRNA from 1 species